rnacentral:rRNA from 1 species
AUUGAACGCUGGCGGCAGGCCUAACACAUGCAAGUCGAGCGCAGCGGCGGACGGGUGGGUAAUGCCUAGGAAUUUGCCUGGUAGUGGGGGACACCGUCCGGGAACGUGCGCUUAUACCGCAUACUUUCAGGUGAGCCUCGGUCGGAUGAGCUGGUUGGGGGGGUAAAGGCCUACCAAGGCGACGAUCCGUAACUGGUCUGAGAGGAUGAUCAGUCACACUGGAACUGAGACACGGCCCAGACUCCUACGGGAGGCAGCAGUGGGGAAUAUUGGACAAUGGGCGAAAGCCUGAUCCAGCAAUGCCGCGUGUGUGAAGAAGGUCUUCGGAUUGUAAAGCACUUUAGUUUGUGAAGCGUUACCAACAGAAUAAGCCCCGGCUAACUUCGUGCCAGCAGCCGCGGUAAUAC